rnacentral:rRNA from 1 species
AGGAUGAACGCUGGCGGCGUGCCUAAUACAUGCAAGUCGAACGGAGCCUUCGGGCUUAGUGGCGAACGGGUGAGUAACACGUUGGUACCUACCCUCUAGUGGGGAAUAACUGCCCGAAAGGGUGGCUAAUACCGCAUAAUACCGCAAGGUUAAAGCAGUAAUGCGCUAGAGGAGGGGCCUGCGUCCCAUUAGCUUGUUGGUAGUGUAAUGGACUACCAAGGCGACGAUGGGUAGCUGGAUCGAGAGGUUGACCAGCCACACUGGGACUGAGAUACGGCCCAGACUCCUACGGGAGGCAGCAGUAAGGAAUCUUCCACAAUGGACGAAAGUCUGAUGGAGCAACGCCGCGUGCAGGAUGACGGUCUUCGGAUUGUAAACUGCUUUUAUAUGGGAAGAUUAUGACGGUACCAUAUGAAUAAGGACCGGCUAACUACGCGCCAGCAGCCGC